GAUGAACGCUGACAGAAUGCUUAACACAUGCAAGUCAACUUGAACUUCGGUUUGGGUGGCGGACGGGUGAGUAACGCGUAAAGAACUUGCCUCACAGAUAGGGACAACAUUUGGAAACGAAUGCUAAUACCUGAUAUUAUGAUUUUAGGGCAUCCUAGGAUUAUGAAAGCUAUAAGCACUGUGAGAGAGCUUUGCGUCCCAUUAGCUAGUUGGAGAGGUAACAGCUCACCAAGGCGAUGAUGGGUAGCCGGCCUGAGAGGGUGAACGGCCACAAGGGGACUGAGACACGGCCCUUACUCCUACGGGAGGCAGCAGUGGGGAAUAUUGGACAAUGGACCGAGAGUCUGAUCCAGCAAUUCUGUGUGCACGAUGAAGUUUUUCGGAAUGUAAAGUGCUUUCAGUUGGGAAGAAAAAAAUGACGGUACCAACAGAAGAAGUGACGGCUAAAUACGUGCCAGCAGCCGCGGUAAUACGUAUGUCACGAGCGUUAUCCGGAUUUAUUGGGCGUAAAGCGCGUCUAGGUGGUUAUGUAAGUCUGAUGUGAAAAUGCAGGGCUCAACUCUGUAUUGCGUUGGAAACUGUAUAACUAGAGUACUGGAGAGGUAAGCGGAACUACAAGUGUAGAGGUGAAAUUCGUAAAUAUUUGUAGGAAUGCCCCAUGGGGAAGCCAGCUUACUGGACAAUACUGACGCUUUAUGCGCGAAAGCGGGGUUACAAACGGAAUUAAAUAACUUUGAAUCCCAAGGGUGAUUCCACAUUGUAUUUAGGGUUGAUCGAUACCGCGACCUACCAGGGGGGGGUUUUUUUUUUUUUUUUGUUCUUUUAGUGGACGCUACAUAAGGGUGGGGCCUGAGGAAGGGGGGUUUCUCU
rnacentral:rRNA from 1 species